CCGACCCCGAAGGAAGGGAAAGGAAGGAGUCCUCCAGGGAGCGCCCUGGAAGGACGGCCCGCACACCGGGAGCACCCGGCAUGCCGACGGGAGCGCCCGUCGGCCGUACGGCGGACUGGAGUCGGGAGCCGGAGGAUCACCACGAAGGUAAUGCUGAUACGCUCUAUCUGCAUUGAGCAAGCCGCUCGUGUGUGAUGCUCGUCAUCAUGGUGGAAGUAACAAGAGUCUCGCACAUCGCACAAUACCGUCAUGUUCGUUUAAACAGCGUAAAAACACGUCACGAAAUAAUAAACAUGUUAGAUAUUUUUCAUUUCCAAACAAUGAAGAAAUGAUUGCGCAGUAGAAAAGACUUUGCAAAGAAAAUGUCAAUGCAAAGAACGGUAUGUAUAUAUGCAAUAUUGAAAGGUGGUAAAUGGAAUUUAACGAAUUAAAUAUAAUAGAAUAUAAUAAAA